rnacentral:rRNA from 1 species
GACGAACGCUGGCGGCGUGCUUAACACAUGCAAGUCGAACGAAGUGGCGAAAGGGUGAGUAAUACGUGGGUAACCUGCCCUCCUUUUUGGGAUAAGCCUUGGAAACGGGGUCUAAUACCGAAUAUAGGGGGAUGGGCUCGGGGCCUAUCAGCUUGUUGGUGGGGUGAUGGCCUACCAAGGCGGUGACGGGUAGCCGGCCUGAGAGGGUGACCGGACAGAGUGAGAAGGAGCUGCGGGCCAGAUCACGACGGGAUGCAGAGGGGGGGGGUAGUGUACAGUGCGCCAAAGCGUGAUGCGGGGAGGCUGGGUGGGGAAUGAAGGCUCUUGGGUUGUAAGACUCUUCGGCUAUCGAACGGGUCGGUUUUGAAGCAGCCCCGGCUGACUGCGUGCCAGCAGCCGCGGUAAUUC